GGUGAGUAAUAUAUCGGAACGUGCCCAGUAGUGGGGGAUAACUGCUCGAAAGAGCAGCUAAUACCGCAUACGACCUGAGGGUGAAAGGGGGGGAUCGCAAGACCUCUCGCUAUUGGAGCGGCCGAUAUCAGAUUAGCUAGUUGGUGGGGUAAAGGCCUACCAAGGCAACGAUCUGUAGUUGGUCUGAGAGGACGACCAGCCACACUGGGACUGAGACACGGCCCAGACUCCUACGGGAGGCAGCAGUGGGGAAUUUUGGACAAUGGGCGCAAGCCUGAUCCAGCAAUGCCGCGUGCAGGAUGAAGGCCUUCGGGUUGUAAACUGCUUUUGUACGGAGCGAAAAGGCUCUCUCUAAUACAGGGGGCUCAUGACGGUACCGUAAGAAUAAGCACCGGCUA
rnacentral:rRNA from 1 species